AAGAUACUUAUCAUGAACUACAUCAAGAUCUUCGGCUGCUUCCAUUUCAUCAAAAAUUCAAAACUAAUUUGAAGAAUAUGUAUCGUAAAGCAGACUGAAGUUAACAAAUUAGGGAUUAUCACAUCUCUAACCUGCACGGAAAAUCAUACAAUUUGCAAUCUGUCUACAUAAUUGAAGCCUAAACCUGAUGUCCGGAAAAGAAACGGAUACCGUUUGAAUGUGCAAUAGUAGAUGGGAUCCUAGAUGAACAUCGCAAAUCCGGAAUUGAUGGUGGCCUUGGAAAGAGCGCGGCGCCUUAAAACCGAGGGAAUAGUUGCGCCCUUCAAUUGGCCACAAAGGGCGGCGGGGUAAUAGUGCAUGAACAGUGCUUGACCCUAAGUCAAGAGCUCCAAAAUGACAAUGUUACCCUACGUUCAACCACCAGGAUUUUGGCAGGCACCACAGACUCGACCACCGCUGAAGACAGAGAGACGAGAUUAGGCGGUUGUACAGUGGUGGCCGGUUCCGGCGAUGGCUCCGCUUUGCGCGUUGUUGGCCGGAGUUCACCCAGUAGAUAUCGCCACGACGUUUUCCCGGGCAGCGCAGCUUAGGCGAACGACGGAUGUGGAGAUUUCAGACGGUUGCGAUGGUAGUUGACAGAGAAAGGGUAGGUGGAGCGUUGUGGUUGUUUGCGAUGGUCAUUGUGGUGGUUGACGGCGAACCGGUGGUUAGCUGCGGUGCGGUGGUGGCGGCUAGAUGAUUACGAACUUCGGUGAACAGUUUCACCAGCGGUCGGCCAAGGAAAUCACACUUCCACCAUCGCCACCAAAUUUACAUUGCGUGACGGUGGGUGUGACUGUGGUGAGUAUGGUGGUGCUUGGCGUGUCGCAGUGACGUUGGCGAGUCACAGUGACGGUGACGAGUGGCACUGGCAGGUGGCUGUGACGAUAGCUGUGGUGUAUCGAUGUCGUGGAGGACGUGCCGAUGGCACGUGGCGAUCGCCCUUGGCUGGUCGUAGUGACGGUGUUGGCGGGUGGCUGCGACGGUGGCUGUGGUGGUGGUUUGAAUUGCCUUUACGGUGGAUGGCAAAUUAGUAGGUGGGUUGAGACAUAGCUAGAAGGUGGUGGUGAAACAAUGGCGGUGGUAACGCUGGGAAAAACAUGAUGAAAAGCAAGAGAGAUGUUAUAUUGAUGGUGAUAGAAAUAGUUUAAAAUAAAGAUGUUGCAGACUUUUCUGUUUCUCCACGUGAGGUCAGCUGUUUUCCAUUAGUGAAAUUGGUGAAAAUAAUGAUUCCAUAUUUUCCAUUGAUUCAAAAAUUUC
rnacentral:lncRNA from 1 species